rnacentral:rRNA from 1 species
GCGAACGCUUGCGGCGGGCUUAACACAUGCAAGUCGAGCGCCAGGUUUCGGCCUGGAGCGGCGGACGGGUGAGUAACGCGUGGGUACCUACCUUCUGAUGGGGGAUAACUAGGGGAAACUCUAGCUAAUACCGCAUAUGGCCUUCGGGUCAAAGGCUUCGGCCGUCAGGAGAGGGGCUCGCGUCCCAUUAUUUAAUCCUAGUUGGUGGGGUAAUGGCCUACCAAGGGUACGAUGGGUAGCUGGUCUGAGAGGACGAUCAGCCACACUGGGACUGAGACACGGCCCAGACUCCUACGGGAGGCAGCAGUGGGGAAUAUUGCGCAAUGGGCGAAAGCCUGACGCAGCCACGCCGCGUGAGUGACUAAGGCCCUCGGGUCGUAAAGCUCUGUCGGAGGGGAAGAAGAAAUGACGGUACCCUCCAAGAAAGCACCGGCUAACCUCGU